ensembl:lncRNA
CAAGACUGGGAGAAGGAGAGAAGAAAGGCUAGGAGUGGAAAAAUACUGACUACUGAAGCAUAGUGAGGGGAUAAUGUCUUCAAUUUUCUCCACCAUAAAGAGUUUGUGUACUAUAAAGAGAGGUGCCUGGGAAGGUUUCAGUUGAAGGCCCCGGAUAAAGAGGCUUCUAAAUGGAACCGUCAGGGGUAGGAACACAGUUAUAUGUUAGAACAUGGCUGAUAGAGGAGGCCUGAGUCCUUCACUGUAAGUCCCUUCAGAGACUGCAACACACUGGCUGCGCAUCCGGCCUGGUAUGGAGAGAACAGCUUCCUCAGGAGGUUUGCCAGCUUUAAGAUUGGAUCUCUUGUAAAGUGUGUUGAGUGGCAAGACUCAUGCUCCUCACCUCUGCCCUACUCAGGACAAUUCCCUUUUACUCAGAGCUCAGAAACGCCAAUGGACACCACCUGUGAAGUAGGAUGUUUGCACAUUCUAAAAUCAACUACUUGAGUAACAGUGGUCUCAGCUGUGUGUAGUUCAAAUGACCACACCUGCCUCAGGAGGCUCUCAACACACAAGAGGUGAACUUUAAGUCCGAAGCAUAUUUAAUGCAGAUUUUCCAUAGGAAGGAUCAUUUGCAUUAUGUGAAAUUGUCUUUCACUUUACUUGAACCAAACCAAGACAAAUGAUCGAACUUGGGACCUUGCAUUUGUGAAGCAGGCAGCGGAACCACUGAGCUAAAUCCCUGACCCUCCAUUGACCUUUUACAAGGGUGUCAAGCCCAUUCAAUGGAAAAAGUCUCAUCAAUAAACUGUGCUAGAACAACUGGCUAUCACUUGAAAAAUUAUAAAUGCAGACCCCUACAUCACUCUAUGUAUAAAAUUUGACUCAAAAAAGAAAAUGUAAAGAGUAACUAAUCACAAGGAUUUUGGAUGGCACGGAAUCAUGUAUAGACAAGAAGUGACCCAGGAGAGGAGAUAUUGGUGGACUCUAUUGGCCAGUUAGUUGAAGGACAUGGCCUCACAGUGGAUCCCUCAUGUGUGCCCUUCUUUUCUCAUUCCUGGCCCCUGUGGCUAUGCAGACCUGAAUGCAGAGUUGACACUGUGGAUUCUUAGACAAAGGAAUGCCUGGGAUACUUUUACCUGAUCUUUUGUUCAUGGAGCAGGUGUAAAUUAAGUCCUGUGAUUCUAUUUUCUAACUAAAUAAAGCAAAUGUGAUAAAUCACUGUGACUCACUUCUGCUGAAUAGUCAUCAGUGGUAAGAACAGGG